CCUACGGGAUGCAGCAGUGGGGAAUAUUGGACAAUGGGGGAAACCCUGAUCCAGCGACGCCGCGUGAGUGAAGAAGUAUUUCGGUACGUAAAGCCCUAUCAGCAGGAAAGAAAAUGACGGUACCUGACUAAGAAGCACCGGCUAACUACGUGCCCACAGCCGCGGGAAUAAGUAGGGGGCAAGCGUUAUCCGGAUUUAAUGGGUGUAAAGGGAGCGUAGGUGGCAGCGCAAGGCUGGAGUGAAACGUCGGGGCCCAACCCCGGAACUGCUCUGGAAACUGGGAGGCUGGAGUGGAGGAGAGGUAAGCGGAAUUCCGGGUGUAGCGGUGAAAUGCGUAGAUAUCAGGAGGAACACCGGCGGCGAAGGCGGCUUACUGGACUGUAACUGACGUUGAGGCACGAAGGCGUGGGGAGCAAACAGGAUUAGAGACCCCAGUAGUC
rnacentral:rRNA from 1 species